GACAUAUAGGUUCACCACUGUACUAACCUGUCACACACUGAAGACCUAUAGGUUCACCACUGUACUAACCUGUCACACACUGAAGACCUAUAGGUUCACCACUGUACUAACCUGUCACACACUAAAGACCUAUAGGUUCACCACUGUACUAACCUGUCACACACUAAAGACCUAUAGGUUCACCACUGUACUAACCUGUCACAUACUGAAGACCUAUAGGUUCACCACUGUACUAACCUGUCACACACUAAAGACCUAUAGGUUCACCACUGUACUAACCUGUCACACUAAAGACCUAUAGGUUCACCACUGUACUAACCUGUCACACACUGAAGACCUAUAGGUUCACCACUGUACUAACCUGUCACACACUGAAGACCUAUAGGUUCACCACUGUACUAACCUGUCACACACUGAAGACCUAUAGGUUCACCACUGU